AUCCCUUCAUCUCCUUAUCAUUUCCGCUGUCCAGACGGCUAUUAUUGUGACCUGGACGGAGAACUGAUAAGGGCGCGUGGGGAU
rnacentral:pre_miRNA from 1 species